GACAGAGGGUGCAAACGUUGUUCGGAAUUACUGGGCGUAAAGCGCGUGUAGGCGGCUACGCAAGUCGGAUGUGAAAUCCCGUGGCUCAACCACGGAAGUGCACCCGAAACUGCGCAGCUUGAGUCUCGGAGAGGAAGGUGGAAUGCUUGGUGUAGAGGUGAAAUUCGUAGAUAUCAAGCGGAACACCGGUGGCGAAGGCGGGUCUCUGGGCCGAUAUUGACGCUGGAGGAGCGAAAGCGUGGGGAGCAAACAGG
rnacentral:rRNA from 1 species